AGUACAGCAAACAGAGUGACGUAAACAACAGAAAUUUAUUGUCUCAUGGUUCUGGAGUCUACAAGUUGGACAUCUAAGUAUCUGCAGCUCUGCCCUCAUCAUGAGACCAUGCCCAGGCUAGUCUGCUGGAAGGAAGUCAGAGGCACACGGAAGAGAGCCACAUUCAGCCAAGGCCAUUCUAGACCAGUUGUUCCCUGUCACUUCACUAAUUGGCCACAGCACAAGGUUUUGUUGAAGAUUGAAUGAGUGUGUAAAGUGCCCAACAGAAAGUCUGGCACAUGGUACACGGAUGGAGCUGGAAGCCAUUAUCCUCAGCAAACUAA
rnacentral:lncRNA from 1 species